ACGGGUGAGGAAUACAUCGGAAUCUACUCUGUCGUGGGGGAUAACGUAGGGAAACUUACGCUAAUACCGCAUACGACCUACGGGUGAAAGCAGGGGAUCUUCGGACCUUGCGCGAUUGAAUGAGCCGAUGUCGGAUUAGCUAGUUGGCGGGGUAAAGGCCCACCAAGGCGACGAUCCGUAGCUGGUCUGAGAGGAUGAUCAGCCACACUGGAACUGAGACACGGUCCAGACUCCUACGGGAGGCAGCAGUGGGGAAUAUUGAACAAUGGGCGCAAGCCUGAUCCAGCCAUACCGCGUGGGUGAAGAAGGCCUUCGGGUUGUAAAGCCCUUUUGUUGGGAAAGAAAUCCAGCUGGCUAAUACCCGGUUGGGAUGACGGUACCCAAAGAAUAAGCACCGGCUAACUUCGUGCCAGCAGCCGCGGUAAUACGAAGGGUGCAAGCGUUACUCGGAAUUACUGGGCGUAAAGCGUGCGUAGGUGGUCGUUUAAGUCCGUUGUGAAAGCCCUGGGCUCAACCUGGGAACUGCAGUGGAUACUGGGCGACUAGAGUGUGGUAGAGGGUAGCGGAAUUCCUGGUGU
rnacentral:rRNA from 1 species